GUCUUGGGUCAUGACCAAGGAUGUCUCCAUGGCAAUACUAUCUACGAACUGAGAAUCUGACUGAUUGUAGCCUAGGCGAAGGCGCCAACCCAGGCACACUCAUACACACCCCUUCCCCCAUCCAACGCCUUCGCCUGCUUGUUCCCCCGCUUGUUCCCCCAGUG